rnacentral:rRNA from 1 species
CCUACGGGAGGCAGCAGUGAGGAAUAUUGGUCAAUGGGCGCGAGCCUGAACCAGCCAAGUCGCGUGAAGGAGGACGGCCCUACGGGUUGUAAACCUCUUUUGCCGGGGAGCAACGGGCGUCACGUGUGGCGCCACUGAGAGUACCCGGAGAAAAAGCAUCGGCUAACUCCGGGCCAGCAGCCGCGGUAAUACGGAGGAUGCGAGCGUUAUCCGGAUUUAGUGGGUUUAAGGGGUGCGUAGGCGGAUCGUUAAGUCAGUGGUCAAAUUGAGGGGCUCAACCCCUUCCCGCCAUUGAAACUGGCGCUCUUGAGUGGAAGAGAAGUAUGCGGAAUGCGUGGUGUAGCGGUGAAAUGCAUAGAUAUCACGCAGAACCCCGAUUGCGAAGGCAGCAUGCCGGCUUCCGACUGACGCUGAAGCACGAAAGCGUGGGGAUCGAACAGGAUUAGAUACCCCAGUAGUC